CUACGGAGGCAGCAGUGGGAAUAUUGACAAUGGGGGAACCCUGAUCCAGCCAUGCCGCGUGUUGAAGAAGGCCUUAUGGUUGUAAAGCACUUUAAGCGAGGAGGAGGCUCUUCUAGUUAAUACCUAGGAUGAGUGGACGUUACUCGCAGAAUAAGCACCGGCUAACUCUGUGCCAGCAGCCGCGGUAAUACAGAGGGUGCGAGCGUUAAUCGGAUUUACUGGGCGUAAAGCGUGCGUAGGCGGCUUUUUAAGUCGGAUGUGAAAUCCCCGAGCUUAACUUGGGAAUUGCAUUCGAUACUGGGAAGCUAGAGUAUGGGAGAGGAUGGUAGAAUUCCAGGUGUAGCGGUGAAAUGCGUAGAGAUCUGGAGGAAUACCGAUGGCGAAGGCAGCCAUCUGGCCUAAUACUGACGCUGAGGUACGAAAGCAUGGGGAGCAAACAGGAUUAGAUACCCUGGUAGUCCAUGCCGUAAACGAUGUCUACUAGCCGUUGGGGCCUUUGAGGCUUUAGUGGCGCAGCUAACGCGAUAAGUAGACCGCCUGGGGAGUACGGUCGCAAGACUAAAACUCAAAUGAAUUGACGGGGGCCCGCACAAGCGGUGGAGCAUGUGGUUUAAUUCGAUGCAACGCGAAGAACCUUACCUGGUCUUGACAUAGUAAGAACUUUCCAGAGAUGGAUUGGUGCCUUCGGGAACUUACAUACAGGUGCUGCAUGGCUGUCGUCAGCUCGUGUCGUGAGAUGUUGGGUUAAGUCCCGCAACGAGCGCAACCCUUUUCCUUAUUUGCCAGCACUUCGGGUGGGAACUUUAAGGAUACUGCCAGUGACAAACUGGAGGAAGGCGGGGACGACGUCAAGUCAUCAUGGCCCUUACGACCAGGGCUACACACGUGCUACAAUGGUCGGUACAAAGGGUUGCUACCUAGCGAUAGGAUGCUAAUCUCAAAAAGCCGAUCGUAGUCCGGAUUGGAGUCUGCAACUCGACUCCAUGAAGUCGGAAUCGCUAGUAAUCGCGGAUCAGAAUGCCGCGGUGAAUACGUUCCCGGGCCUUGUACACACCGCCCGUCACACCAUGGGAGUUUGUGCACCAGAAGUAGGUAGUCUAACCGUAAGGAGGACGC
rnacentral:rRNA from 1 species